GCGGAGGCGAAGAGGGGCGGGACCCGGGCCUGGCCCGUGUGUGUCCUGGAGGCCCCUGGCCCAGGCCGCUGCUGUACGGUGAGCCCCAGGGAGGCGGACCUGGGUCCCGGGAAGGACACCCGCCUGGAUUUGCCCCUUAGGCCCGGCCCGGGCCCCUCGGGAGCAGAACAGCCUUGGGGAGGUGGACAAGAGGGGACUUCGAGAGCAGACGCGCGCCAGCGACAGCAGCCCCGCCCCGGCCUCUCGGGAGCCGUGGGGCAGAGGCUGCGGAGCCCCAGGAGGGUUUCGACCGCCUCUAAACGUCCUUCAGCACCUCUGUUCUCUCAUUUGAGUGUCUGCUGAUUCCCCCGUUAGAUCUGCCCUGGAGACUCGUAGUAAUGCAGAAACAGUCUGCAGGGAUUCUGUCCUGCUGCCUCAGUUGCUAGGGGAAGAGACUGGGCCUUAGCAGGUCUACCAGCCACAGUCUCUGCACGUUUCCAAGAGCAGCAGAAAAUGAACACAUUGCAGGGGCCCGUGUCAUUCAAAGAUGUGGCUGUGGAUUUCACCCAGGAGGAGUGGCAGCAGCUGGACCCUGAUGAGAAGAUAACAUACAGGGAUGUGAUGUUGGAGAACUACAGCCAUCUAGUUUCUGUGGGGUAUGAUAUCACCAAGCCAAACGUCAUCAUUAAGUUGGAGCAGGGAGAGGAGCCGUGGAUAAUGGAAGGUGAAUUUCCAUGUCAGCAUAGUCCAGAAGUCUGGAAAGUUGAUGACCUGAUAGAGAGAAUCCAAGAAAACGAAGACAAACAUUCAAGGCAAGCUGCUUGUAUCAACAGCAAAACCCUGACUGAAGAGAAAGAGAAUACAUUUAGUCAAAUUUACAUGGAAACAAGCCUUGUUCCUUCAAGCAUAAUAGCUCAUAAUUGUGUCUCAUGUGGAAAGAAUUUAGAAUCUAUUUCAGAAUUAAUUAGUAGUGAUGGAAGCUAUGCCAGGACAAAACCUGAUGAGUGUAAUGAAUGUGGGAAAACAUAUCAUGGAGAGAAAAUGUAUGAAUUUAAUCAAAAUGAGGACACCUAUUCUCAAAAUGAAGAAAAUAUUCUUCAGAAAAUUAAUAUUUUGGAGAAACCCUUUGAAUAUAACGAAUGCAUGGAAGCCUUAAACAAUGAGGCUGUUUUUAUUGCUCAUAAGAGAGCUUACAUAGGGGAGAAGCCCUAUGAGUGGAAUGAUUCUGGACCAGACUUCAUACAGAUGUCAAAUUUUAAUGCAUAUCAGAGAUCACAAAUGGAAAUGAAGCCCUUUGAAUGCAGUGAAUGUGGAAAAUCCUUUUGUAAAAAGUCAAAAUUCAUCAUCCACCAGAGGGCUCACACAGGAGAGAAACCUUAUGAAUGUAAUGUGUGUGGGAAAUCCUUCAGCCAAAAGGGAACCCUCACUGUACAUCGGAGAUCACACUUAGAGGAAAAGCCCUAUAAAUGUAAUGAAUGUGGGAAAACCUUUUGUCAGAAGUUACACCUCACUCAACACCUAAGAACUCAUUCAGGAGAGAAACCCUACGAAUGUAGCGAAUGUGGGAAAACCUUCUGCCAAAAGACACAUCUCACCCUACACCAGAGGAAUCAUUCAGGAGAGAGGCCCUAUCCAUGUAACGAAUGUGGGAAAUCCUUCUCCCGCAAGUCCGCUCUCAGUGACCAUCAGAGAACUCACACAGGGGAGAAGCUUUAUAAAUGUAAUGAAUGUGGGAAAUCCUACUACCGAAAGUCUACUCUGAUUACACAUCAGAGAACACACACAGGAGAGAAGCCCUAUCAGUGUAGCGAGUGUGGGAAAUUCUUUUCUCGGGUGUCAUACCUCACUAUACAUUAUAGAAGUCAUUUAGAAGAGAAACCCUAUGAAUGUAAUGAAUGUGGCAAAACCUUCAAUUUAAAUUCAGCCUUCAUUAGACAUCGGAAAGUACACACAGAAGAGAAAUCCCAUGAAUGUAGUGAAUGUGGAAAGUUCUCUCAGUUGUCAUAUCUCACUGACCAUCAUACAGCUCAUUUAGGAGAGAAACCCUAUGAAUGUAAUGAAUGUGGGAAAACCUUCCUUGUAAAUUCAGCCUUCAAUGGGCACCAGCCACUUCCAAAAGGGGAGAAAUCCUAUGAAUGUAAUGUAUGUGGAAAGUUAUUCACUGAGUUGUCAUACUUUACUGAACAUUAUAGAAGUCAUUCAGAAGAGAAACCUUACGGAUGUAGUGAAUGUGGGAAAACCUUUUCCCAUAAUUCAUCCCUCUUCAGACAUCAAAGAGUACACACAGGUGAGAAACCCUAUGAAUGUUAUGAAUGUGGAAAAUUCUUCUCUCAGAAAUCAUAUCUCACCAUACAUCAUCGAAUUCAUUCAGGAGAGAAACCCUAUGAAUGUAGUAAAUGUGGAAAAGUCUUCUCUCGGAUGUCAAACCUCACUGUCCACUACAGAAGCCAUUCAGGAGAGAAACCCUAUGAAUGUAAUGAAUGUGGGAAAGUCUUUUCUCAGAAGUCAUACCUCACUGUACACUAUAGAACUCAUUCAGGAGAGAAACCCUAUGAAUGUAAUGAAUGUGGGAAAAAAUUCCACCACAGAUCAGCCUUCAAUAGCCAUCAGAGAAUUCAUAGAAGAGGAAAUAUGAACGUACUUGAUGUGGAAAAUCUCUGAAGUCAGAUCUCAAUUUUUAGAAAACUCUGAAUAUAAUGAAUAUGGGAAAUCCAAUAGGAAGUCAAAGCAUUUAUCUGAGAGUUCGUGUUCCUGAAUGGUGAGAAGCAUUUAGGCGUUAGAGUCAUUUUAAUCCAAAUUUUCACAGAGAAGAAUCCCGAAGAAUGUAACAAGAAGCAAAGCCUUCAGUAAGAUCAUACAACUCAUCGGACACUAAUUUAUGCAGGAGUGAAGUUUUAUAAAUAUUUAAUAUUUAUUUUGGAUUCAAAUUGUAUUUACAUAUCAGGGAAUCAUACAAAGGCAAAAUCUGUCAAUAUGGUGAAUGUGGAAAAUAUAUUGUCUUGGAAAUUUGUUCUAAAAGCCAUAUUUUUAAUGUAAAAUCAGGUGUUUAUAGGAAAGAUCUCAGAGGCUAUAAGCUCUGAAUAAAUCUUCAUUGUAUAAAAUGAAGUUUUUAAAUUGUCAGGAGUUGAUCAUGAGGACAGUAGCAUUACAUAAGUAUAUGGCCGUUUUUUAUCAUGUCUUAAAAAUGCAAUCUAAUGGUAAUUCUAUGCAAGUUUGGAAUUGGACGACUUGUGAAGAGGCAGUUUUCUUAUUUGAGUAUUAGGAUGGCAAAAUGUAUUAAGACAGGACAUAUUGUUGGCGAGAUAAUAUUUAAUAGGUAUAAAAUGGUAAAAUACCUAGUUUUCUAUUUAGAGGAAUUUACAAAUGGGUUUUUAACAAAUGCCUCAUUAGUAGAGGAGGCAGUGGUUUUGUAAAGUUUUCAACUGCAUCUGAGUAAGAUAAGAUUUUCUAAAGACUAUUUUGAUAAACUAUACAUACAUAAUUUGGAAUUGUUUAAGUCUAUUUCAGUGAAAGAGAACAGCAUACUGCCCAUACUCUAAAAUAUCCCCAGUUCUCACACCACCCUUGUUUUAACCCAUAGGUUUGAGUGUGCCUAGUGCCAAUAUUUUAUAAUUUAUAAAUUUUAUUCACAAACUUCUGUUUGAUACAAAUACAGUGUCAUUGUUUUGUGCAUUCUCCUUUUUCCCAGUAUUUCAGAACAAAUUGAUUCAAGUUUCUAGCAGAUAUUUUUUGAUCAAUUAACUUAAUGUCCUCGCUCCAUUUCUUGCUGGAACAGUUUAGGUACCUACUGCUUCUUCACAUGACACAGGGGAAUCCUGAUUAGUCAAAAUAAUAAUGAUUUCAUUCUCUUUGCCAGUAACUUGUUUUAUAGUGGUCAUAUGACCUGAUACUGGGUAAACAAAACAAAGAUGGAUUUGUUCUGGGAAAAGGUAAAAUGGUAAUCAAAUAGAUUGUGUUCCAGGAAUGCAAAGGUGGCUUAAUAUUCACAAGUCAGUUGCUAUUAUACACCACCUGUAGAAAAGUAAUCUGGCAUGCAGAACAUUCUUGUGGUAAAAUUAAUGUUCGUUUAUGAUCUUAGCAAAUGAUGGAUUGAAAGGGACUUCCUUAAUUGCAUAAGGAGACUUAAACUACAACAAACAGUAUGCUUAAUGAUGAAAUAGUGAACAUUUCUCCUAAGAUUAUAAAAAUAAGACAAGGAUAUCUGCUGUCAAUGAUUUUAUUCAGCAUUGUUCAGAAGGACCUAACCAGAAAACUAAUGCAAGAAACAAACAAAAGGCAUAGAGAUUAGAAAAGAAGUAAAACUUUAAAAACGAAAAAGAAUAUAAAUCUCUAUUUGCAGAUGCCGUGAGUAAAUUUGGUAAGUUCCCUGCAUAAAAUUUAUGCAAAAAGCAUUUUAUGAUAUACCAGCAAAAAACAUGGAAAAUGAAAUUUUGAAAAGCAGUGCCACUUAAAAGAUCCCUCAAGUGCCUAGGGGGAGAAAAUGAGUUAAUAUGCUUUGAAGAACUGUAUCCAGAAAAGAAAAUUACAAAGGAGGAGAGGGAUAGGAUUCCAGGACAAUCUCAAAACUAUUGCUUUUUCCUAAAUUCAUUGCAACCUUAAAAUCCUAGCAAGUUCUUUAAUGUAAAUUAACAAGCUAAUUCUAGAAUUCAUUCAUAUGCAUAUUCAAAAGGCCAAUAAUUGUCAAGGCUACCCUGUAGAAUGGACAGAGAGGAUUGAAAUUUCUAAAUAUCAAGACCUGUUAUAAAGCCAUAGAAAUAAUGAAGGUGUUAUUUUGGCACAAGGAUGAAAAAACUGACUAGUGGAACAGCAUACAGAUUCAAAAGUAGACCCACAUGUGUACCAAUACCUGACUUUUGAGAAAGGUGACAUUGAAGUGUAGUGGGGGAAAGGGUGUUCUUUCCAGUAAAUGUACUUUGCCAAUUAAAUUUUUUAAUUUAAAAAAAAGUUAUUUGGAGGUGGAUUGCAGAUCUGAAUAUGAAAUAUGAAAGCUUUACAAAGAAAUCUUAGGACAGUUUGUAAUCUUGGAGUAAGCAAAGGUUUAUUGAGACCCAAAAAGUAUUAACCCAUAAAAUUAGAACUUAAUAUUAAAUUUGAGAACUUCUAUUUAUCAGAAAGACCACCAGUAAGAAAAUGAAUAGGAAACCAUGGGGAGGAGAAGAUAUUUGCAGUUCAUGUAUGUGACAACAGCACUGAGUAUAGCAAAAGUGUUGGCAAACUUUUUAGCAAGGCAACAGAUGGUGAAAAUUUUUGGCUUUGUCACAACUGCUCAUCUUUGCUAUUGUGUGAAAGCAUCCGUACACCAUGCAUUAAAAAAAAAUGAGCAUGGCUGCUUCCCAGUAAAACCAUUCACAAUCCCAGGUGGCAGUCUGGAUUUGGUCUGCACUCAUAGUUUUCUGGUCCCUGAUCUCGAAUAUGUAAAGAGCACCUACAAAUCAACAAGGGGGAAACUGGAAAAGGCAAAAGACUUUAGAGGAUAUCCACUCACUUUAGAGGAUAUCCAGAUGGCCAAUAAGCAUGAAAAGAUAUGUUAGCUUUAUUAGUAAUCAGGGAAAUGGAAAUUUAAAACAUGUAGCACUGCUACCCAUCCAUGGAAAUGGUUAAGAUGAAAAGCAUGAAAAAGCAUCACGUUUUGGCAAGGAUGUAAGCAAGAGGAACUGUACUCUACUGGUGGAAUUGCUCAUCGAUAAAACCAUUUUUGAAAGCUGGCACUUAAAGCCAAGCAUAUGUAUACUGUUUUAUCCAAACCCAGCAAAAAUGCAUGUGUCUGUCCACCAAAGGACAUGUACUAGAAUAUUUAUAGCAUAAAACUGCACAAAACAGAACUAUCUUAAGGCACAUGUGCAAUGGAGUGAAUAAAGAAGUGGCAUAUUUCCAUGGAAUACUGUAAAACAGUGAGCAUGAAUGAACUAGAAGUCCGUGCAAUAACAGUUGAAUUUAACAAACCUUGCUGAAUGAAAGACUCCAGACACAAAAGCCAACAUGCUGUAUGAUUCCUUCUAUAUAAAUUAUAAAGAUGGGCAAAACUUGUAUACGUGGUUCAAAAUCAGGAUAGCGGUUACCCUUGGCCAAGGCUGAAGGGGCAUUUAUCUGGUGCUGGGAAUAAUCUGUUUCUAAACCUAGGUGCUAAAUAUUUGAGUGUGUUCUGAGCUGUGCACUUAAGAUAUGUGUAUUUUUCUGCAUGUGUGUUACACUUUCCAUAAAAGUUUUUUCUAAAAUCACAAAUGGCUAACAUUUGUGUCGCUCAUCACUCUAAUCAUAUUUUUCUAGAUGUGUAUGAAUAUGCUGCAUAACAGGAAUUAAAUGGCAGAUUUUGCAUAAUUCUGUGCAGGAAAUACAUGUUUAUAGUAAUUUUGAUGGCAACUACUAAGAUUUCCUACGCUGUCCUUAAGGCUUAGCAUAAUGUAUAUUUUAAGUGAAAUAUUUGGGAAGGUUAAAGAGUCAUUACAUACUUUGUCAUCCUAUACUUUUGCAUAUAUAAAUAGGUCUGAGCUGCCUCUUCAAUAAAGAAGCUAAUGUGUAACAUUUCAUAUUUCCCUAAACAAAUUGUUUUUUGCAUUUCUGAAUUCGGGAUUCAUCUUAACUUUUACCAUAGGGGUGACCUUUCUUGGCAGUGAAUGAAUAUAAUGCUGAGUUUGAUUUGAUGGAAAAUUAUUUAAAAAGUAUUCAGCUAAACCUUUGAGCAAAUGUCAGAUACACAGUUAACAGCACAGAUGUAAGUGAGUGAAAGAAAUGGGGCACCAAGACUUUGCACCAUUGGGAUAAAAAAGCACUCUGGGUGAGGGCUGGGUGAGGGCUGGCUGAGCUUGUAAAAGCACAGCAAGAAGGACGUGACAUUGGAUGGCAUAGACUGCAUGCCUCAUUUUUUUUUUUUUUUUUUGGUGGGAAGGCAUUUGUUUUUUGUUUUUCUUUCUUUUAUUUUUAGAGUCUGGUUCUCACCACAGCCUGCAGUGCAGUGGUGCAAUCACAGCUCACUGCAGCCCCGACUUUCUAGGCUCAAAUAAUCCUCCCAUCUCAGGCUCCUGAGUAGCUGGGACUACAGGUGCAUGCCACCACACCUGGCUAAUUUAUUUUUUUUGUUGUUUUUUUCGUAGAGACGGGGUCUUGCUGUGUUGCUGGACUCAAACUCCUGGGCUCAAGUGGUCCAUCCAACUCGGCCGCCCAAAGUCCUGGGAUUGAUUCCAGGAGUGAGCCACCUUGCCCGGCCAUGUGCUUUUCAUUCCACCUUACUCAUUGAGGGUUAAGCUGAAGUGUGAACAGGCAAGAUUGCAGCACUUCCCUGGAGAAAAUGAGUUGUGGCAAAAAUAACCAGACAUUUGAGGAACUCAGUCACCAAAGAACAAACUGCACCACCUAUGCUAAAGAUUCUCAAAGAAAUAAGAAUAUUUUGGUAAUGUUUGGGAGACUGAGGUAGGAGGAUCUCUUGAGGCCGCGGUUCAAGACCUGCCUGGGCAACAUAGUGAGACUCCGUCUCUACAAAAGAUAAUUUUAAAAAUUAGCUGGGCAUGGCUGCGUGUACCUGUGGUUCCAGCUACUCAGGAGGCCGAGAUGGGAGGAUCGCUUGAGCCCAGGAAUUUGAGGCGACAGUGAGCUAUGAUCAUGCCACUGCAUUCCAGCUCAGGCAACAGUGAGACCCUAUCUCAAAAACACAAAAACAAAAAAAUAGGCAUGCAAAGAAGCGGAAAAACAGAACCCAUAAUGAGUAGAAAAGUAACAAAGACCCAGAAAUGGCAUAGAUGAUGGAAUUAGUGAUCAGGACAUUAAAACAGCUACUAUGAAUAUUCCCCGUAUGUUCAAGAAGAAUGGAGAAUGAACCAGCGUGAGGGACCGGAAACGACUGUGUUCCAUGCUGAGGUUGGCAGAGGCUGGCCCGGAUGCUGAGCCCAGGCUCAACUCGGGGACCUGGGCUGUUGCACUGGGGCUGGACUGGGGAUCACUGAAGAGGGCCAGGCCCGCGUGGGUCUCCAGGGCCGUGCUCAGGGGCGUGGUCUUCUGCAGUGGGGGCGUGGCUGCCGCCCUGCCCGCAGGCCAUGUGGCCCCUGCUGUUGCUGCUGCUGCUGCUGCUCCCGGUCGCCCCGGUCCCCACCGCCAAGGCCGCUCCCCUCCCGGAUGCUAACACCCAGGAAGGCCUUCAGAACCUGCUCCAAGGAGUCGAGGCUGGCGGAGACGGAGAGCUGCAGGCAGACUCACACCUGGCCCCGGACUCUGGCUGUAUUGAUGGGGCUGUGGUGGCCAUGCGACCAGAAAGCCGGGGAGGAAGACCUGCGGCUCCGUGAGAGGCGUCCAGGGCAGCAGGCCAUGGCGACAGGCUCCGGGGAACAUGGGGCUUUCCCUGUCCACUCCCAAGGAGUGUGGGCCUCAACGCAUUGGCAGGGGACGGCCGUGUGCCCUCUCCAGACCCCACCCCUACAUCCAUUUAUUAGAAAUAAUAAACUUCUUUCUUAGCUAGCA